AUUGAACGCUGGCGGCAGGCUUAACACAUGCAAGUCGAGCGAGCGGCGGACGGGUGAGUAAUGUAUGGGGACUGCCCGAUAGAGGGGGUUAACUACUGGAAACGGUAGCUAAUACCGCAAACUAUCUGAUAACCCACAUGGGAUUAGCUAGUAGGUGAGGUAAUGGGCCACCUAGGCGACGAUCCCUAGCUGGUCGGAGAGGAUGAUCGGCGGAAUUGGGACUGAGACACGGCCCAGACUCCUACGGAGGCAGCAGUGGGGAAUAUUGCACAAUGGGCGCAAGCCUGAUGCAGCCAUGCCGCGUGUAUGAAGAAGGCCCUAGGGUUGUAAAGUACUUUCAGUCGUGAGGCGUUACCGACAGAAGAAGCACCGGCUAACUCCGUGCCAGCAGCCGCGGUAAUUC
rnacentral:rRNA from 1 species